ACAGGUGCUGCAUGGCUGUCGUCAGCUCGUGUCGUGAGAUGUUGGGUUAAGUCCCGCAACGAGCGCAACCCUUGUCAUUAGUUGCUACAUUUAGUUGGGCACUCUAAUGAGACUGCCGGUGACAAACCGGAGGAAGGUGGGGAUGACGUCAAGUCCUCAUGGCCCUUAUGGGUAGGGCUUCACACGUAAUACAAUGGCGCGUACAGAGGGUUGCCAAGCCGCGAGGUGGAGCCAAUCCCAGAAAGCGCGUCGUAGUCCGGAUUGCAGUCUGCAACUCGACUGCAUGAAGUCGGAAUCGCUAGUAAUCGCGGAUCAGCAUGUCGCGGUGAAUACGUUCCCGGGUCUU
rnacentral:rRNA from 1 species